GGAUCCAACCCAGGACAUGCCAAGCGAGCCCAGUGCUACUGCAUUCUCUUAGACCAAGCUCAUCUUUAUAAGUCACAUUGGAUGAACAGGCUGCUGCCUGGUAGUAAAUGAAUCAAUUAAAGACACAGAACCCAGUCGAGUCACCCAUUGCUGACAUCAUGAGCAGGCUCCACUCUGGGUAGCUCACCCACCCUCUGGAACUCACAAGAUGGCCACUGAGGAGCAGCUUCAGCUUGGCCCCUCCAGGCGCUGACCUCGAAAACAAUGACUGGUGGCCGGCAAGGUACAGAGCAACUCUCAUCUUCCUUCCCUGAUGUGGGGAUUGGAGAGUGUGGGGAUGUAUGUGGGCAUGCGAGGCAGGCAAAGAUAUUCCUUGUUUAUUCCUUUCAAUCUACUGCAAUGUUAUCAGUUGCCCUGGUAAUGGGCUUGUCAUUGUUGUUUGUGGUUUGUUUGUUGGGUGGUUUUAUUUUGUUUUGUUUUGGAGAUGUGGUGUCAUGGAGCCCAGACUGACUUCAAACUCAGUAACUCACAAUGUAACCCAGAUGACCUUCAAUUUCUGCCUCUACCUCCUAAGUGCUAGGACUAUAGGUGUGUCACUCAGGUUUCACAAAGUGCUGGGAAUCAAACCCAGGGCCUCACUCAUGCUAGCCAAGCACUCAACAAACUAAGGUACAUCUCUAGCUCCUAGCAUCUUCCUUCCUUCCUUCCUUCCUUCCUUCCUUCCUUCCUUCCUUCCUUCCUUCCUUCCUUC
rnacentral:lncRNA from 1 species